AUCAUAGUUGUAAAUUGUGUCUUACACACCGGCGUCACAGACACAGAUAAUAGAAAGAGAGUUCACAGAUUUUAGAGAGAGAGAGAGAGAAGAGAGACACGGUGGAAGGACCACCGUUUCUGGUGGUAAACCCGGCUGUGCACGGCAGCGCCUCUCACUUCCGACGCAUAAACGACCGCCAUGGCGGCGGUGAGUUGUAGAGUUGUACUUCAGGUGAAGUCCGGCCAGUCUCCGGCGAAGAUCCGUUUGAGCUACGUUACAUGAUUUGGUAUUGUGGAAGUCGAGCUUCGCAAAUCAAAGAGAUGUGGGCUAAAGGAUACAUGUCUUGAUGAUAUACUGGUAUACUUGCACCAAUCUUGAAGGUAUGUUAUUCCAUUUUCUAUAAAUAACUACUUGGGUAAAGUGGCUAUGGCCAUGGGCAAGUUGGGCUCACUUUAUCAGGUAAAAUAUCUUUUCAGUGCUUUGAUUAUUGGGGCCAUUUUAUAUAUAUACUUCUAGAUUUCAUGACAUCAUAUUUACCCUUUCGAAACACUACAAGUGUAGACAACACAACAAGUGUCCAGCUGUACUUGAGCAAAGAUUCUCUAGAAGCUUCCAUCACAACUUCCAAGGCAAGUGAAGUUAAUGUGAUGGUACCUCCCAAAGAUCCCAAUGCUGAUAUGGCGGAACAUCCUAUGCCACAUCAGUACAUUCACCCACUUACCAGGAUGGCCACUUUGUUACAACCCCUGUAUCCCACUCUGGAGCGUAAUUGGGUACGCACACCAAGUUUCAACCAUCUCUUAAAAUGUUUUCUGUAGAUUUGGAUAUGGAGAGUAAAAGCAAUUGUUUGACAGUUAAUAUAAAGGUUGUACUACAUGGUUUCCUUAUUAUGCAUCAUUUUUGCUUUGAAAACAUGAAGUCUUAACACAUAUUCGUCUAACUAUUCAGAUUUUGAACUUACUUUACUGAUGUCUUCAUCUUGAGGGCUUUUGAAUUUUCAGAAAGAUAUAAGGCUAUCCGCUUUAAUCCUCUCUCAAAGAAGUCUUCGAUUACUUAUAAAGUUUCAGCUUGAGACUUCAACUUCUUAUUUUCAAAGCUACAUCUCAAUGUUAGAUAUAGUAGGCACAUGUUUGGCUCUUAACAGUAUGCAAAUUGCAUAAUAUUUCAUGCAACAAUGGGCUCUUAACCUGCUUAACAAAAGCAUUUUCAUUUGGUUCGGUUUUCUCUCCCUAAGGCUGU